CCUAUUGCACAACCCAGUGAGUUUCUGGGAAAACAGAGGACGCAACGUUUGUGCCACUGAAGAACCGGGCCGAUGCAGAACUUGAGGACGGAGCCCGUGAGCCCCACGUGAGACUGCGUCCAACCCGAUUUGCUGGUAUCCACCCUAGCGCUUAGUACAGUGCUUGGCACAAAGAAGGAGUUCUCCGUUCUUCCCAGGAUCCCAGCGGCCGGAUGGGAUCGGAGCCGGGCCGCGUCCCCCUCGGUCCCGGACGACGUGUCCCGGCGUUCGCGGGCCCGGGGAUGGCGGCCGGAAAACCCAGGCUUGCGUCUUUACUUAAACGUGUUUAUUUGUAACCGUCGUACAUGGUGUGUUACAGAAAUUAAUGGAAAAUUUCUAAAAA